rnacentral:rRNA from 1 species
UGCCGCGUGAGUGAAGAAGGCCUUCGGGUUGUAAAGCUCUUUCGGACAGAAAGAAAUCGCACGGGUAAAUAAUUCGUGUGGAUGACGGUACUGUAAGAAGAAGCACCGGCUAACUACGUGCCAGCAGCCGCGGUAAUACGUAGGGUGCGAGCGUUAAUCGGAAUUACUGGGCGUAAAGCGUGCGCAGGCGGUUGCAUAAGACAGAUGUGAAAUCCCCGGGCUUAACCUGGGAACUGCGUUUGUGACUGUGUAACUGGAGUACGGCAGAGGGGGGUGGAAUUCCUGGUGUAGCAGUGAAAUGCGUAGAUAUCAGGAGGAACACCGAUGGCGAAGGCAGCCCCCUGGGCCUGUACUGACGCUCAUGCACGAAAGCGUGGGGAGCAAACAGGAUUAGAUACCCUGGUAGUCCACGCCCUAAACGAUGUCGACUAGUUGUUCGGGAAGGUGACUUCUUGAGUAACGAAGCUAACGCGUGAAGUCGACCGCCUGGGGAGUACGGUCGCAAGAUUAAAACUCAAAGGAAUUGACGGGGACCCGCACAAGCGGUGGAUGAUGUGGAUUAAUUCGAUGCAACGCGAAAAACCUUACCUACACUUGACAUGUCUGGAAGUCUGCAGAGAUGCG